CUGUCAUUUAGAGGAAGUCGCGCAAGCUUUCGAUCGUCUGCAUGGCAGCGGCAAGGUGCGCUAUUUCGGGGUCAGCAAUCAUAGUCCUUAUCAGAUCGAGCUCCUGAAAAGAUAUGUGCGUCAGCCGUUGGUCAUGAAUCAGAUCCAGCUUGGUUUGGGCUAUUGGUAUGUGCAACCGGAAGCAUCGUCCAAAUUAUCAUUCACCCAUGGCGCCGAAGGCGUGCAGACCGUGGAUUACUGCCGCGCCAACGGUAUCCAGGUACAAGCCUACUCACCUUUGCGAUCGGGAAAGGUCACGCGGCUGGGCGCCACUCCGAGCUUGUUGAAGC
rnacentral:misc_RNA from 1 species